GAGGAAAUUUCAGUGACUACCAGCUUGAAUCUUACCUAUAGAAUUAGAGAAAUAGCUUGUCCAUUACCAGUGUAACAAGAGAGCAACCAUCUCCAAGGACUUUACACAUUUCUAUGAGACCUUAUAGAAAAUUGAUUUAAAUAAAAGUAUAACGGUGAUUAAUACCUUCAAGUCCAGAAUGAUUUGCUGAAACAAACCACCAAGAGCAUUGCAAUCUUUUCCGACCCCGUUACCUUCCAUGACACAAAAGCACUAUACUCACAAGUAAAUUUAUUAAUAUAUCUUGUCACUAUAACAAAAAUAAUUCAUAGUCUUGCAACGUUUUUAUACAUUCACAUUAAAAAUAUGUUCAUAAAAAAAAAAAAAAA